GGUGAACGCUGGCGGUAGGCCUAACACAUGCAAGUCGAACGGCAGCACAGUAAGAGCUUGCUCUUACGGGUGGCGAGUGGCGGACGGGUGAGGAAUACAUCGGAAUCUACUUUUUCGUGGGGGAUUACGUAGGGAAACUUACGCUAAUACCGCAUACGACCUACGGGUGAAAGCAGGGGAUCUUCGGACCUUGCGCGAUUGAAUGAGCCGAUGUCGGAUUAGCUAGUUGGCGGGGUAAAGGCCCACCAAGGCGACGAUCCGUAGCUGGUCUGAGAGGAUGAUCAGCCACACUGGAACUGAGACACGGUCCAGACUCCUACGGGAGGCAGCAGUGGGGAAUAUUGGACAAUGGGCGCAAGCCUGAUCCAGCCAUACCGCGUGGGUGACGAAGGCCUUCGGGUUGUAAAGCCCUUUUGUUGGGAAAGAAAAGCAGCAGGUUAAUACCCCGCUGUUCUGACGGUACCCAAAGAAUAAGCACCGGCUAACUUCGUG
rnacentral:rRNA from 1 species